UGGAUGCAUGUGUGUAUGUUUGCAUGGCAGGAGGGAAAGGGAGGAGGGGGGAAGUACUUUCAACUUGCAGACAAAUCCUCCAGUGGGUGUAAAAGGCGUUUGAAAUCAAUGGAGCCAGGUUGUGUUGCAACUGCCGAGGAUCUGGCUCAGGCAGCUGUAACGCUGUGCUGAGCUGCGGUUUGGAGAAACCUGAACAUGGCUGUACAGAAGAAAAAACAGAAAGAGAUGUUUGGUCGCAGUCCCGUUUCUUUCCUGUGUGGAGGACAGCUGUGCAGCUGCAAGGAGCGCUGCCUGCAAACUCAUCGGAUAUGUGCAUUUUCCCUCUCUUUGGUGGGUCGGAUCACAACAAUUAACUUCUCUGAAUGUUUGUGCAAGACAGUCUGCAAAUGCAGAAUCUAAACACUGCAGAAAGAAAUCUGCCUCUUUUGUUCCCCAGACUCCUGACUUAGUCUGCCACUCUGCCAAAGCUAGUUACCAGCAUGGCAGCUGAUGAAUAAAGAACAGGCUGCUGUUCUCUCCGCACGGGCGUACCCAGACCAUCAGUCAGCUCUGGGCUGUUCUGUGGCAGAGAUCCUCUCCUCCACUCCUUCUGCUGAUGCUGGGAAACUUACCUAAAGAGGAAGCAAAAGAAAGCAUACUCUGUGAGCAGGUUUAACUGAGAGUUACUGUUUCAUACUCACUCUGUGCCAUAAAGAAUACCUGAUGAGUGCUGAGGUGAACAACAGCUGCUCACAGAGGACUGAGGAAACGGCUACAACAACUGCUAUUAAAAGGUAGUUCAGGUCCUGACAGACUCAGAAGCAGACAUCGUGAAGCCACAAGAGAGGAUACUUUCUUACUUAUUUGGCGCAAGAAAAAAUCCCAGUUCAUUUUACGGCCUGGAGAGUUGCAUAUCAUCAGCCUGGAAGCACCCGAUUUUACCAUGCCAUAGAAAACAUUCAAUGCAGCUGUAACGUUUCUGCAACUGUAAUGUGAGACCUCAAAAUGUUCUUUGCUUGGAUAUGAAAAAACUUUGCGAUAUUCAAGAUGCACAGUUUGUAAGCAAGCAGGAGUGUGUGUGUAUGUGUGUGGGGAGACACCUUUCUCCCAUUUAUACUCUCAUUUAUGCAGCAGAUGAUGAGUCACAUUAUAUAAUUACAUAGAUAGAAAGUUAUUUGAUGUUUAAUUUUGCCUAGACAAAUGUUAGUUGCUUCCUAAGCAGUAUUUUCUCCCUAUCAGUAUCUUCCUAAUAGCUGUGGAUUUUUAAUUACUGAUAAUUAGUAUUUACAUAGAGCCUUUAGCAAACAAUUCCUGAAGUACUUGUAGUAAUUACAUAUGUAAAUUGUUAUGAAAGAAAAACGUUCACAGAUUCACGAAAGCUGGUGAAGUAGGCAGUAAGCAGAGGUCAUGUUUUAAUGUGUAAAAAAUGAGGCAGAGUUGGGAGAAGGUCCCGUGUUUUUCUGCAUUGUUAGGUGAAACAGAACCAAAUAAUUAGGAAUUUCUGUGUAACAUUUUUUUUCAAUAAGGACAGAAGUGAGAACAAGUUCUGUUGUUUUUGGCUUAUUGAUGCUGAAUAACAGAAUUUGCUGAAAAAUAUUUAUGAGAUGCCUUUUCUUACAGGGACUUAGCAGUCACAUAGAAGGGUUCAAGGAAAUGUCUUGCUGAGACAUUGGAGUCUGCACGAUACCGUCAAAAUGCAGAGGGAUUUAUAAAACAAGACCCAGAUGAAACAGAACUGAUGAAUUUCUGCACAGCUUUCAGUUACGAAUCCCUGUCCUUUCUCAGAAAUUGGGCAGGACUGAGCAUUAGAAAUACCAUCAUAUACACAGUUCAGAUGGAUAAAGGGAGAUAGCAGACUUACAACACAUGUGGAAAGAGAUACAAUCCUCUUUAUGUACAGACUGCAUAAUUUCUGCCUAUAGAAUCAAACUUGUUUCAGCCACAUCUGUGAGAUUUGGACCCACAACAGUGCCUGUGAGCCCCAGCUUCUGCGUGUCUGUUGGAACCAAGAUCACUGAUGUUAAAGAUCUCUUCUGUGCUUACACAAGAAGGCUAUUUUUUUUUUCUGUUAGAGGGGGAAAUUAGGAUUCAUUCCUUAUUACAGAGAUAAAAGCUUAAUUUUUUUCCUUGUGCAUGUUUUAGGAACCUGCUGAGCUGAUCAGCUCUGCCAUCUGAUGAGCAUUCUGCAGUGACAUGAGGAGUAGAUGAAUUAAAGGCUUUGUCUGCUGCUUGUU